rnacentral:rRNA from 1 species
AGCAGUCGCCACGGUAAUACGUAGGUGGCAAGCGUUGUCCGGAAUUAUUGGGCGUAAAGCGCGCGCAGGCGGAUCAGUCAGUCUGUCUUAAAAGUUCGGGGCUUAACCCCGUGAUGGGAUGGAAACUGCUGAUCUAGAGUAUCGGAGAGGAAAGUGGAAUUCCUAGUGUAGCGGUGAAAUGCGUAGAUAUUAGGAAGAACACCAGUGGCGAAGGCGACUUUCUGGACGAAAACUGACGCUGAGGCGCGAAAGCCAGGGGAGCGAACGGGAUUAGAUACCCCCGUAGUCCCUGUCUCUUAUACC